rnacentral:rRNA from 1 species
UGGGGAACAUUGCACAAUGGGCGAAAGCCUGAUGCAGCAACGCCGCGUGAGUGAUGACGGUCUUCGGAUUGUAAAGCUCUGUCUUUGGGGACGAUAAUGACGGUACCCAAGGAGGAAGCCACGGCUAACUACGUGCCAGCAGCCGCGGUAAUACGUAGGUGGCAAGCGUUGUCCGGAUUUACUGGGCGUAAAGGGCGCGUAGGCGGACCUUUAAGUGAGAUGUGAAAUCCCCGAGCUCAACUUGGGGGCUGCAUUUCAAACUGGAGGUCUAGAGUGCAGGAGAGGAGAGUGGAAUUCCUAGUGUAGCGGUGAAAUGCGUAGAGAUUAGGAAGAACACCAGUGGCGAAGGCGACUCUCUGGACUGUAACUGACGCUGAGGCACGAAAGCGUGGGGAGCAAACAG